GCCCACAUAGCUCAGUAGGUAGAGCACAGUCUUGGUAAGACUGAGGUCUCCGGUUCGAUCCCGGAUGUGGGCUCCA
rnacentral:tRNA from 1 species